rnacentral:rRNA from 1 species
UGGGGAAUAUUGCACAAUGGGCGAAAGCCUGAUGCAGCAACGCCGCGUGAGUGAUGAAGGCCUUCGGGUUGUAAAGCUCUGUCUUUUGGGACGAUAAUGACGGUACCAAAGGAGGAAGCCACGGCUAACUACGUGCCAGCAGCCGCGGUAAUACGUAGGUGGCAAGCGUUGUCCGGAUUUACUGGGCGUAAAGGAUGCGUAGGCGGAUUUUUAAGUGAGAUGUGAAAACCCUAAGCUUAACUUGGGGACUGCAUUUCAUACUGGAAAUCUAGAGUGCGGGAGAGGAGAAUGGAAUUCCUAGUGUAGCGGUGAAAUGCGUAGAGAUUAGGAAGAACACCAGUGGCGAAGGCGAUUCUCUGGACCGUAACUGACGCUGAGGCAUGAAAGCGUGGGUAGCAAACAGGAUUAGAUACCCUGGUAGUCCACGCCGUAAACGAUGAGUACUAGGUGUAGGAGGUAUCGACCCCUUCUGUGCCGCAGUUAACACAAUAAGUACCCCGCCUGGGAAGUACGAUCGCAAGAUUAAAACUCAAAUGAAUUGAC